UACGGGGGGGGGCAAGUGUUGUUCGGAAUUACUGGGCGUAAAGGGCUCGUAGGUGGCCAACUAAGUCGGACGUGAAAUCCCUCAGCUUAACUGGGGAACUGCGUCCGAUACUGGAUGGCUCGAGUUUGGGAGAGGGAUGCGGAAUUCCAGGUGUAGCGGUGAAAUGCGUAGAUAUCUGGAGGAACACCGGUGGCGAAGGCGGCAUCCUGGACCAACACUGACACUGAGGCGCGAAAGCUAGGGGAGCAAACAGG
rnacentral:rRNA from 1 species